rnacentral:lncRNA from 1 species
ACCAAUCCUUUCCUACUAUGUCACCACUCCAAAGUCUCUCAUAAAACUAAUACAAUGCACAAGGACCAUUGAUAAAACUCAUCAAUGGUCAAUAUUAAUUACUCUUUUUCUCUUCAAUUCUAAUCCUUUCAGUUUUAUCUCAACUAUUGGAUCUACAUUAUCCAACGACCCCCGUUUAAUCCGUAUAAUUAUUCUUUUUAUUCUUUAACGUAAAGACACCUGAACCAUUGAUCUAACUGAUCCAAUAGACUAAGAUCGCUUCUCCAUUUUAAAUAUAUCAAAUCAAACCCCAAACCCUAAGUCAUUCCCUCAUUGUGCCAGCCGCCUCAUUUCCCCUUCAUCUCUCACUCUCCUCAUCCUCCCCUCUCUGCAAUCUCCGAUACUCAGCACAAAUUAGUGAAAAUUUUGUAAGAGACAAUUGUGAGACCAUUAUCAUUACCCUUAAACCGAGAAUCUAGCCGAAAAUUCCUAUUUUGAUCAUCCCCUUUCGCACCCCCAAAUUCUGAAACCCUAGUCUUAAAUGUGAAAGGCUUCGAAUCUCAUCAUCACACCCUCCUUUGUUCAAAUGUACAUUAAAGCAUGACAUGCAACUUCAGAUUCAUGAUUAUCUCGACCUCACCGUGACAUAUGAUGACCCUGAUGUUAAAUAAAGGGACCUCUAGGUAAAAACUUUGUUUGGAGGCCACUAAGAUUCAAAGGCUAGCCUGUUCUGAUAGGGUAAUACUUAUUCUAUUUUUCCUCUAUUUUUUAAUCAUUUUCCCUUGAUAUGAUCAUAUGAUCUUUUAUCAAUGUUCAUAAUUUUUUUCUGUCUUCUAUCAAUUGUGAAUCUUCAAGAUAAGUCUAAAUGAAAUCCUUAGUUACUCACCUAACAAUCGAACAACCAGAGUAAAUGCAACUACACUAAAGUAUAAAUUUCUUUGCUUAGAGCUUACAAUUUUUUUGGUGUUGAGCUUAAUGUCUUGAAGUUGAAUAUAAGAACUACUUCCUAGUGGCUAAUUUCAAUACCCUGGUUUGCUUCCCUAAGGAAGGUCAGUACACUUUAUUAACAUUCAUUUUAUUGUCGAGAUCUUAUUUGUAGCUUCUCAUGUGUGGUUAUUCUAAUUAGUUAGUCUAAUGUGUGUUUGAAUCUUGUCUUGAUAGUUAUGUGUAUCAUAUCAUGUUAGCAUGUGAAGCAUGUCAUGAGACCUUUCUACCUAUCUUAGCACAUUACAAUUUAUGGAUGAAAGGUGAUCCUUUUUGGUUUAGUUAAAUACUUAUUGACUUGAAAUCACAUGUAUGCUUUGUUAGUGUUAGCCGUAAACAAGUGCUCUUGCCAUCUAUGAUUGUUUGUUAUUGUGAAGACUAUGUUUCAAAGUUUUUAAUUAGCAUGAGUUGACACUCCCUAGUCUAUUAUGUUAUGGAUACAAAGCCUAUUGGAUUCAAUUUGAGAUUGAAAUCCGAUUAGUCUAUCAUGUUGAAUAGCUCUUGUUGUCACCUCUGUUAACACAAGCUUUGUGAGGCUAGCUCUAAGCCUAAAAAUCUUGAUCAUCAUAGAUUAAUAUGGAUUUAAAUUUGGGUCACUAAAAGGGACUGUCCCGAGGUUGUUUUGGUUUCCUAUAAGUUCUUAUUCAUGAUGAGUGCAAUAGUCAUGCUUGUUGUUGUGUUCUUAGUAAAGUGCUAGACCUCUAUUGUAAUAAGAGAAUACAUGUUUGGAAUGUUCAUUCCUUGUAAGCUCUAGAUAAGGUAUCAAUCUUGAAAGCAUAUUUAACAUAGUAAGUUGUAACACCCCGUAAAUCCAGAUUAGUUGUGUAUGCAUUAAAUGAGUAUUAUGACCUUUUAGACUUGUGAAGUCCUACCAGAAUGAGUAUGGGUGGAAACAAUUAUUUUAGAAUCAAGAUCGAGUGUGAGAUGCAUAAAAUUUAAUAAAAUCGACUAAAUUUAUGGGAGGUAUGUCAUAUAGUUAGACAAUGCAAGGCCAUAAAAACUCACGGCCAUAGACAAUACAAGGUACUGUCCAGGGCACUAACAUCAGCACCCCUAACAGUGCAACACACUAUAACUUCAGCACCCCAAACAAUGCAAGGCACUGUAGUUUUGGCGCCUUGCACGAUUAUUUUGUCACCCGCGAUGAUUCCUUACAGAGUCGACGUUUCUUUGAGCCAUUUUUAUUUUACUUCUCAAUUUUAGGACAUCUUCAAUUAUUUAAACCCUACCUCAUUCCCUACAACCCCAAACACAUACGUAUGCUCUAGAAAGGGGAACUCUCAAGAACCCAACUUCCCAAAGGUCCCUCCAUCAUCCAAGGUAGGUUCUAACGAUGAUUAUAAGUUAAUUUCAAUUCUCCAACACCUUAUUAACAUGGAUAAAUCCUACCAAUAAUUAGAUAUUCGAUCCAGACAUUAUUAUUGAGAAAGGAAACCCUAGAACUCGAAUUCAAGAGGAGUAAACUUCAAAAAAGGUAAUGCUUCUACUCCCUAAUAAUUUAUAACUAUGAACUAAUGAGUUUUUAGGAUAAUAGUAGAUGAUUUUGUUAAAUGGAACCACAUAAAUUAUGCUAGGGUUUUGGGUUAUAAUGAUUAUUAUAAACAUUUAGGUGAUGAUAAAUGGUAUUAGUUUCAUGUAUUUGGGAUUGUAGAAUCACCUAGAAGUAGUAGAAUGAGAAUUGGGUGGAGAAAAACCCCAUUAAUAAGGGCUAUGAGGCUUUACGGCCAUAAGAUGUUUGAUAAAAUGCCUAAGUUACUAAAUCAUGAGUAUUAAUGCUAAUGUUGUUCCUCUUGAUAUAUAUUGACAUAGAUUAUUCUUGAAAGAGGCAGUGAACAAUGUGAUACGCUUAAAAGGACCAGAGUCGAGAUAUCUGAGGCUAACUCUCUAUGUUUAAGAAUGUUAAUAAUUCCCCCUACACUAUGUUUCUUUAUGACUUUUCUAAUUGCCUUAAAAAUAUAGUUAAGCUAAAUUCCCUGAAUAGUUGCAGAACUUCAAUUCUCUAACUUCAUAACUCGUUCAUGAAUUUCAUUUUGAACAUUGUGAGCUCAGUGCAUAUACAAUAUAGAUUUGGGUUUGAUGCCCCCGAUUCUCAGCAUAGAUUACUCAGCAUGUCAUAAACAAUUGAAGUUUCAAUUUUAUAAUCAUUUCAAGAAUACAUGUUCAAGUCUAGUCCUAUUCAAUAUACCAGUAUUAUGUAACUAAGUGUAACUCAGUAUUUCAGUAUCAUGGGCAGUAUGAUUCUUAGUUCUUGAUUUUAAAUCCUGGAAUGUUGAACACCUGUAUUUAGCCCUGAGGCUGUAGUUUAUAUGUUUUAUGAUAUUUGAGCUUGAGGUCGUAGUUGAUGCUUUAUGCAUUUUUGGGCCUACGGCUGUAGGUAUGUAUACAUCUACUUGGGAAUAAGGACGUAGCUUGUGCACAUAUAUAUUGGGCCCUAGGUUGUAGCUUAUUUAGAUAAAUAUGUUAUUGGUCAUUUUGAAGAGGGAGUAUUAUAUCCUUACUUCCUUUGUUCAGUUCAGUUAUCGAUUAUCAAUUAUCAUUUUAGUUAUUAAUUAUCAAUUAUCAACUAUUGAUUAUCGAUUUAGGUUUAGUUUCAACAGUUAUCGUUUCAGUUAUCAGUUAUCAAUUAUCAGCUAUCAGUUAUCAUUAAAGUUUCAGUUUCAAUAGUUAUCAAUUAUCAAUUCUUAGUCAUCAGCUCAAUAUUAGUUUUAACACUACAGAUCUUUCUUCGAGUUAUAUUACAUACCAGUGCAAUUUAAAUGUACUAACGUCGCCUUUACUCGGGUGGUGCAUCUCAUGAUGCAGGUAAUGAUUUAUAUGUUGAUAAUUCAGAGCGUUGGGAUUCUCGUACUAGCUGUUUGGUGAUCCCUAAUUCUUUUGGUGAAUUAUUAUUAUCUUACUGUCUUCAGUAUUUUUAGACAGUCAAUGCUUUCAAUACUUCAUUAGAGGCUUCAUAGACUAGAGUAACAGUUAGAUAGAGUCACACUCAUUUGAUGUUUAACUAUGUUUCUACAUUUAUGUUUUAGACUUAUAUUAGUGUUUUCAUAUAUGAUUAAUAUCAUUUAGACUUUA